GCCUACGGGGGGCAGCAGUGGGGAAUAUUGCGCAAUGGGCGAAAGCCUGGCGCAGCGACGCCGCGUGAGGGAUGAAGGUCUACGGAUCGUAAACCUCUGUCAGCAGGGAAGAACGGUCACUGUGCUAAUCAGCAGUGAAUUGACGGUACCUGCAAAGGAAGCACCGGCUAACUCCGUGCCAGCAGCCGCGGUAAUACGGAGGGUGCGAGCGUUAAUCGGAAUUACUGGGCGUAAAGCGCUCGUAGGCGGUAUGUCAAGUCAAGGGUGAAAUCCCCGCGCUCAACGUGGGAACUGCCUUUGAAACU
rnacentral:rRNA from 1 species